GCAAGACAUUUGAACAUAGAUUCAAUAUUAAAUUCCCAGCAAAACAAAUACAAGCAACAAAGAAUUGAGAAGUACAUGGCAGGUUGAGAACACAGCUCGCAACAUGCAUUAUAGAAGAAUUAAAAUUACCAUGCACCAUUCUCUAAAGCAAAGACAUGGAACAAAUAAAUUAAAGGUAAGUGUGCAACCGAUACAAAUGAGCCCCGAAAAAAGAAAAAUACAAAGAAAGCUCAUCAGUAACCUUCUUUGAAAGCACACAUCUUCUUUUCGCCAUAACAAGAUAUCUGAAAAACGUGACCAAAAUCACAAAAUGAGAAUUCAGUAAUUUAGUCAGUGGUGAGUGGUACAAUAAAAUAUGAAAAGAAAAUAGAGCACAAAGAUACUAUUUUGAGAACAAGUAGGUAGUGAUUUACAGAAGGUGAAUUAAUGGAUGAAAAGUGUUCACAAACAAUCGAUGUGAGACAAAGACAAGCCGGACCGUGAGGGCACCACGAAAACGGAAACCAAAAAUAAAAUCUCCUAUAACACACAAGUAACAAAUCUUAAAAAACCUAAAGGCUAGAGGACAAUAACCCAAGCCUAAUCCUAGAGAAUAAUCCAAUUCUCUAACUUCAAAUGAUUACUAUAACUAAACGAUAUUGGAAAUGACUUUUAAGUUUUAACUUUCUAAAGUUACGACCUUGUAGUUCAUUUCCAACGUCACUUAUAGAGUUCUUGUAGCUAUGCUAUUUACUUAAACACAAUUUUGGUUACCAAUAUUGAAUUUGAUGAUUAUCCAGGUGGAGAGAUCAAUUAUUUGUUCAAUUACUGUCAAAUUAUUUAGACUCAGUAAAGGUGAAGCUAUUUCAGACUCAGAAAAGGUGAAGCAACUGUAUUGAGUUGGGCUACAUGAUAGUAUACCUAAGAUUCUCUGGAGCUAUAGUUCUAUAUUAUGAUAGUGUGUUAGUAUAUGAUCUAUUGGCAUAAUAUGUUGGUGUGUUUGAAAAAUUGUUUCCAUAGGCAAGCUCAAGUUGUUUAUACAUUUUAACAUGGACCCUAAAACUAAUACUACAUUUUAAUUUAUCAUGAUUUCAACACGUAAGAGAGAAAAUGCAUAUUAUGGAGACUUACCCAAGUGCAAGAUAAUGCUCACUACGCCCGUGGAGAUGUAACUCUUGAAGAAGUGAAUGUC
rnacentral:lncRNA from 1 species